CGCGUGGGAAUAUACCCAUCACUAAGGAAUAGCCUCUGGAAACGGAGAGUAAUACCUUAUACGCCCUUCGGGGAAGAUUUAUCGGUGAUGGAUUAGCCCGCGUUAGAUUAGAUAGUUGGUGGGGUAACGGCCUACCAAGUCGACGAUCUAUAGCUGGUUUGAGAGGAUGAUCAGCAACACUGGGACUGAGACACGGCCCAGACUCCUACGGGAGGCAGCAGUGGGGAAUCUUAGACAAUGGGCGAAAGCCUGAUCUAGCGAUGCCGCGUAAGUGAUGAAGGUCUUAGGAUCGUAAAGCUCUUUCGCCAGGGAUGAUAAUGACAGUACCUGGUAAAGAACCCCGGCUAACUCCGUGCCAGCGGCCGUAACUCCAAGGCACACAGGGGGAUA
rnacentral:rRNA from 1 species